GGGCCCCUGGACAGUCCUGGCAGAGCAGAAUGGAAUGUGAAACACGUGGAGAUCCGGAGUAGCGGUGCUGGAACGGAUUUUACAAGGUGGCUUUGGAGGAAAUACCUGAGGCUCUGGAGAUGCAACGUUCUCCUCCGCCGUUUCCAGGAGACGUGGAGGGCACGCCAGCUGGCGAGGGCCUGGUUGGUCUGGAAGGAUGCCUGCCGGACCGAGUGGGUGGUACAAGCUUUGGCGUGGCAGAGGCUGGCCCAGUGGGGCUGGAAGGCGUGGAGGCGGCGUUUCCUACAGACGCAGGUGUCUGAGCAUUUCCUGGAGGCCCAGGACAGGAGCCUACUCAAGAGGGCUUUCGGAAGGUGGCAACAACUGGCAGCAAAAGUGAACGGCCAGCCGCAAGAAAGCUCUUCGAUCUCCCUGCCUCUUUCACGCAACACAGGGGCAGAUCCAACCAA